CUACUUUUCUAUAUUUUAUAUUUUCGUUUGCUUUCACACUUGUUUUCGAUUUUUAUUCCAUAGUGUUAAAAGUGUUUUGCUUUUCUAUUCUAUUUUCCAUUUCAUUUUCAUUGUGAGGCACUCACGCCACAACACACAUCAAUCUAUAUGCUUGUAUGUGUAUAUGUGUGCAUGUCUGGAGUCACAAUUUGCCAUAUCGAUAAUUUUGAUUUAACUUCAUUUUCAUUUCAUUGGAAUAAGUCCAUAUACUAAGUAGACGAUCACUUGCGCUUGGAAAUUGGAAUGCAUUACGAUCUGGCUGUGAAUUAUGUGAAUAUGUGUAUGUGUGUGUGUCGCAUAUGUGAAGUUGCAUUUUGGUUUGGAAUAAACUCGACUUUAGUCAGUAGCAGAUUUUACAACGAUCGACGCGCAUACAAUUUGACGAAUAAAAAAUAUGGUUUUCACAAAAAAAAUUCUAUAAGCGUGGACUCGGGUAACUCAACGGGAUAAUACAAAAAAUGUUUCGUGCCAACAGCUAUUGUAACUAGUGCUUUUGCACCAUUUGAAAAUGUAUUUGAAAUAUUGAAGAAAAUAAAAAAAUAAAACAAGUGAACGCGCGUGACCUAGAGUGACUUUCUUUGUAACAUCUUAAUAUGUUCUCGCUCGUUUUUUUGUGUUAUCAAAAGCAAUUAAUUCGAAAAUAAUCGCAAAUAUGCAUUCAAUAAGUCACCUGCACUCGCCCAAUUGCGAUUUUAUGACUAAACUAGUGGCCGCUGAGAUUACCGAAUAUAAUUGGCGUCAUGUCUACAAGGCGCUCAUACUGUUGGAGUAUUUAAUCAAAACUGGCACCGAGAAAGUGGCUCAACAGUGCAAAGUUAAUAUUUUCGCCAUACAAACACUGCGUGAAUUCGUGUACUUUGAAGCGAGUUAAGACCAGGGCACGCAUAUGCGCAAGGCUAAGCAGCUGGUGAAUUUAUUGAAAGAAUUGAUGUGCGUCUACAACUUGCGCUGAGCCAGAGCGAACAAGAUUUCGAAGAUCAAACGGUUCCAGCUGCCGCCGCCUAAAGAGGAAGAGUCACAAUCACAUCUGUUAGAAUUGCUGAACUUUUCUCUGCUCGACACGAGUAUUUUAAGUCCACCAUUGGGCGCCACUCAAUUUACUGAAAUCAUUUUGUAUCUUUAACACAGCAUCACUACUCGUUGAAAUGGGUUCUCUGUCUGAUUACGAGCAAACAACUGAAAACACCGCAAUCGUUUUUAGGUGAAAAUUCGUCAUAAGUUUCGUUGAAUAAUCUAAUAAAGCCCAUGCAAACGCAUUCACAAGUUGGCAGUGCUGCCUACAAUCCAUUUAGCGAUACUGUUAUACCAUCAAAAACAAAUCUAUUCCUACAACAACAGCCUGAGGUACCGCCCAUUAACCAGCUCAAACAGCAAAAGAAUUUUGCUAUGACUAUGAAUCAGGAUCUCCACUAAUGCGUCUCAGAACAACAAUAAUAUGCCUUGGAUGAACCCGGAAGCAGAAUCGUCGUCAAAUCCAUUCUUAUCGUAAAGCAGUUUUUUAAAUACGGAUAUUUAUAUAGGGAGGGCUAUAAAACAGCGUGCGUGAGUUAGAGGAAUAAAGAGUUAUUUUUUUUUAUAUAGAUAUACGCAUAAAAAGAAAGAAAAACUAACCCGAAAAAAUCAACAAUAAUGAUAGUAAGGAGUAUAAAUUUAAUAUAAGUAUUAUAAUUGUAAUAAAAGUUUGAAAAGCGGUUAGGACAGUUGUAAUUGAGCGUGUUAAAAAAGGACAUCGCUCAACCAGUUUUGAAUAUUUUGAGUGCAAUUAUAUAUAUUAAAUUCAGUUGCUCGACCAAACCGCGUUCGCUUACUUCCACUACAAUGCUCCCCAUUAAAAAAAUUAUAAGAUAUAACACUCCUGUUGCUUAAGUAUUUGCUCCAGACAUACGACAUUAAAUUGAAAUUUGAAAAUAGGCCGGUGUAAAUGGUAAACUAUACAACAGUCAAGCUUAGCAGCAAUAUAAACACAACAAAAAUGAUAAGAAAAUCAACUAAACUAAUAAAAAAUUUUAUAAAAACCAAA